AAUGCACCAAUUUGAAGUCGCUCUGGAUAAGAGCGUCUGCUAAAUGACGUAAA
rfam:Salmo salar isolate Sally breed double haploid chromosome ssa22, whole genome shotgun sequence.